rnacentral:rRNA from 1 species
UACGUAGGUCCCGAGCGUUGUCCGGAUUUAUUGGGCGUAAAGCGAGCGCAGGCGGUUUGUUAAGUCAGAAGUAAAAGGCUGUGGCUCAACCAUAGUGCGCCUUUGAAACUGAAGAACUUGAGUGCAGAAGGGGGGAGUGGAAUUCCACGUGUAGCGGUGAAAUGCGUAGAUAUAUGGAGGAACACCGGUGGCGAAAGCGGCUCUCUGGGCUGUAAUUGACGCUGAGGCUCGAAAGCGUGGGGAGCGAACAGG